rnacentral:lncRNA from 1 species
ACAAUCUCCAGCACUUUGCAAAGAGAUCCCCAAGUUUGCUCUUUCACCCACAGUAAAGACACUCCCACACUUUGUCUACAAACGAGCUUCUUUUCACCAGGGCAGCCUGGGCGUGGAGAGGUGAGAAAAUACGCAGGAAACACUUAUUUCUCUAUGAAAAUAUGAGUCUGAAGAAAGUCAAGAGACUCUACAAACAUUUCUGCAGCCCUCUAUUGGAGAUUUGCAAAGGUCUGCAUGUGCACCCCUUUGGAUGUCAAGGGCUUACUGAAUACCAUUUCCACACGGUCUAUCGCUAUGUCAAAGGGCAACUGCUCCACCAUCAUUUCUGAUCCACAGACCUGUUAGAUGUUAGUCUGGAGAAGGAGAAAUAAAACUCAAUGUUGUUAAUUGCACUCCAAAUAGUCCCACGAUUUUUUCUAACUUUUUAUUGUAGUAAAAUAUAUAUAACAAAUGUUGCCACUUUAAUCA